GUCCCGGCACUGAUUCACCCGCACUCCUGCGCUCAGAGGCACGGGGUGGCAAAUCCACGAAGCGAGCAGCACGACCGGCCAAACUUUCCACUAUUUUCACCUUUAAGCAAACAAAGACAUGAAUGUGUAUUGGUUACAAGCCUGCUCUGCACUGAACACCCAGAAGAGCACCGGCAGCUCCACCUGUGGCCCCCCUGGCCGGGCCUGGGCCGCGGCGUUUCCAGCACCAGAGAGACUGAUCAAAGACUGAGUGAGCCGAGCUGCAACCUGGGGAGGGGACUGUUCUGAGCUUUCUUUGGAGCAGUGCAGCUGGGAAUCUGGACCAAGUGGCCAUGAAUACUCAAGCUAUGAAAUAAAAUGAGGUUUGGAACAUAAUGGAAGUAUCUGCUGUUUAAAUGUAGCCCAUUCACUGUGGCCAUGGUGUUAUUCCUUUCUCAGCUGUUUGACAGUGUACCAGUCUUAAUAUUUGGGCUUCAAAAUGCAGAGAUGGACAGAGCACUUCCUCUCACACAGUCAGAAAGGAUUUGUUAUCAUGUGUGCCUAAUAAGAGACCUCCCUUCCACCCAGGAGUUCUACUCAUGGCUUUGCAUUGCCAAAGACACAGGAUUUCUUCUGUCUUGUCAGGAUAAUGGUUUGUGUGAACGUACAGGGACAGACACAUUGAUUCAACAAACACACCACUAAUGGACAUAAAGGCUGGGUCAGACCAAAACAAGAGAAGGGGUAAGAUAUGUGUGACAGAACUAGCAGUAUGGUUGCUGCAAUUAGCUGUUACUAAUUGCCACAAGUGGUGUUCUUCAGGAGGUAUGGAAAAUGCACCAAAGGGGGUGGCCAGGUAGUGCAGAGGACACUGCUUGAGAUCCACAGGUGUACAAAAGCAAGUGCUCCCAGAGGUGAGGAGGAAGAAGAAGACUCCUCCAAAGGGUCAACACGUGCAGCAGGAGCUUGGGCUGUCCCUGUGAGAGCCCCCUGGGUGCUGUGGGAUGUGGGAGCUGGGCACCAGCUGAAGGGGUGCUUGGAGUAGGGCUGUUGGUUUGUGGUCAUGAGGAGAGCUCUCCUGGCUUCCUGGCUUCCCCCAUUGUUCCUUGGUAUCCUGCUUGCCGUGUAACUUGGCAAAAAAGGCACUUCCCUCCCUGUGCCCUGACCCCAGACCCAGCUGUGGGAGGCUGGGGGUCACAGUCUGCAUGUCAGCAGAUCUUCUCUGGUGGUGCUGGGCCAACAACGUGCAGAAGCACCUCCAGCCUUUGCUUCCCCCUUUGCAUCUGCCAGGAAGGGUGGAAGGACACACAGUCACAGCCCAGAAGAGUUUGUGAAAGAGCCUUAAGCCGUGCAGACGCAGUUUGAUGGAUGCUCUGCUGCCUACAAGCUAUUUCCAGUUAAAGAAAGCAGAAAGAGUCUCUAGGAGGGACAACUGACCAUGCUCUUCUGCAAGAAGAAGGGCAGAAGCAUAUAAAAUAGUCUCACACUUAGGGUAUAUUCUGUAUUGAUCAUUUCCUAUCAAUUUCAGUUCAUUUGCCCAUUCCCACCUCAGUAUUCAUUUUUGAUAUGCACUGAGUAGGAACCAUUGUCUGUCUGGACCUGGAAAGAUUGUGGGGGUUUUUUCUGCUUGCUUCAUUAAAUAGUGAUUUUCAGUCUGGCAAACAUUCCAAAUGCCCCUUGUUUCUCUCCCUCCAGUGUGAUUAGCACAGCAGAUUACACAACAGUGAGUUAGAAGGUGAUUAUUACUCUCUAUGCUGACAAACUCAUUUUCUCUCACUUUCCUUUGGGUUUUAAAGCAAACUGUACCCUUCAUGGGUCUUAUAAAUCUGUGUGUUUUCUCCUUCCAGUCUGACUUUGUUUCGUGAGCUGUGCCCAAAACUCCACUCUGUGUUCUUUCAGUUUCUCUGCUGCCUUUUGCUCCAGGUCUAUUCCCAGGUAUUUUUCCUCCAGGUCAUACUGAGGCCAAUGGACCAAGCCCUCUCCGUUGGGAUUUCUGGAAAUAAUAGGAGGAAAAGUUAGCUCUCCACUUGCCAAUCCAUUGCUCUCUGGCUGCUCAGGUUCAGAGCAUUUCAGAAAGCCAGCAGGUGAGCCCAGAUGAUGUGAUUCUGCUACCUGAAUAAAUUGGCAGUAGUUUUGGAAAAGGCUCAUCAGUGGAACAGCAAAAGUGUAAAAGUUGCCAUUAACUUUAGAUCUAAAACUCCUUUGCAGAUGGAGUAACUGCUCUUAGAUUUUUUUCUUCCUCAUGUCUGCAGGUUCUUUUAAAAGACCAUUAGCAGAAGAAAUUGCUUCAAUAUUUACCUUAAAUUGUGCCAAAUUUCUAGGAACCACCAUAUAAGUACUGCUUGAGGCAGGCAAGUAUGUUGUGGGCAGCACAGACUGAACUUGAGCUGUAAUCAGCAUAGUGAUUCUCACCCAUUUUUAGCAAAGUUGGUCCAGUAUCUCAUAACAGUUCUGCUGAAUUCAUUUUCUUCUUUUGUAGCACCUCCUGCAAAGGGAGAGAUGAAAGGGCCACAUUAGAAAAUAAAAAAUGAGUAUGAGCUAUAUCCAUUGCAACACUUCUCCUGGUUGCCCUGAGCUCUUAGAGGUGUUUCCAGGACAGAAUGAUGUAAUGGAAAGGAUCUGCUACUGAGGACAGAGGAUGUUUAUGCUCAUAGUAAUGCUUAUGAUAUAUAAGGUCCUCCAGAAUCAUCUGUGCCAUUUUCUUUUCCUUGCCCUGGUAGAGCAUGACAGCAAAGCACAGGUAUCUCCAAGUGCAUGCAGAAUGGAAGGGCAGGAACCUGUUUGCACUUGUCAGGUGAGCUCUCAUUGCAGAUCAGCAGUGCUGUCAUGUCCUGAAAAAUCAAGAAAGAUUUUACAUGCACUUCAGGUUCUCCUGCUAUUACAUCCCACAAAGAGUAUUCUCUGGGAUGAAAAGGUCUGAGAUGUCAUUUAAAUGCAAGAACUAUCAUUUCACCUACCAUUUUCAGUGUUAUCUGUAGCAGUUCUUCUUCUGUUUUUCCUCUCAGGCAUUCAACCAUUGCAGCUGAACUGGAUUUUUCACAGCCAGAGACAGCAGCAAUUUUCUGCAAGCAGUGAGAACAAACAGUUUUGGCCACAUUUCCUCUGUCUGGCUCUGCGAGACACUGAGUCCAGCAGGAGCAGCCAAAGCUCCUGCACAAAGGUUCCUGGAGCCUGGCUUGUCCCAGCUCCAGAGGCAGGGCACUGGAAGCCCUCACAAUCCUUCACACCACAGGCUGGGCAGAAGGGAAAACCUCUGCCUGCAAGAUGUUUUGAUACAGAAAUAUUCUAAGACAAUUCUGGUAAAUAACAUACUGGGCUGAGAAGGCUGGGUGACAUACAGGAGUUAGAGAAUAAACAACCAUCUGCAGGGUAACAGAGAGCACAUUCUACCAGUCUUGGGGACAUCUUUUGGGCUGGAGCAAGAGCUGUCAUUAGAGAGAGCUGUCUCUCUUAUGUCCCAGCUUCCAGGUUCUGGAAAUUGCUCCUUGCAGUUGAAGAGAAAAGAAAGGGGUGGAAGCCUGUAGUUCUCAAAUUAAAAAAGGGGAAUAAAGACCUGUUUAUUUGCACACUACCAGCAUCAAACAGGAGGGGAAGAGAAGAGUAUUCAGAGUCUGGUGCCAUUUUCCAGCCAAAAAGUAUAUUGAAAAUGGAUGGAGGGGUUAUUUCCACUAAGUAAUUACAGUUCAAUAUUACUGUGAACUUACAAGAGCAGAAACACUGAUUCCUCCUGCAGAUUCUCCAAAGAUGGUGACAGAUGCUGGAUCUCCUCCAAAAUGCAGGAUAUUUUCCUGAAUCCACCGAAGAGCCGCCACUUGGUCUAAAUAUCCCCAGUUACCUCGGGCAUGCUCAUCACCAGUGCUGCAGGGAGAGAACAGAGGUGUUCAAAUGCUCAAUGCAAGCAGAGAGGCAGAGGAAGAUACAAUCUGUGCUCUAAGAAAUCAUCUGCCAUUCUCUACACAGCAGUUCCCUACACGACUGACAAAUGGAUGGCUCGGGAAGCCCUGAGAUUGGAGCAGCAGCCCCACAAGAACAGAUCUGGAGGCUGCCUUGGGACUGCAAAUUGUCCCCAGUGCUUGUAGGUGCAGUUCAGAAAUGUUUCUUUGCAUAAGCAAGUCUUCUGCACGUCUCUUUACAAAGGCUUUGCACACAUCCUUUUGGAAAUCACUUUGGACAAAUUGAGAUCCACAAGCUUACCUAAAAUACCCAGCAAUACCCAGUCUGUACUGAAUUGCUACAACCACCACGUUGUCCAAGGCUGCUAAUGCUGAGCCAUCAUAUGACGAAGCUGCUCCAAAAACUAAUCCACCUCCAUGGAUCCAUACCAAGACCUGAAAAGAGAUAAAGAGAAUCAGCCCAGCACAGACACCUGAAUGAAUGAAAAAGAAAGAAGCAAGAGAGAAAUCACUAAAACCUGAAAGCUGUGAAGAGAAGCCUUUUUGGUACUUCCACAACAAUGUGCCAAGCAGGAACUGAUCUCCAGCUCCGUUCUAGAUUGGUAUGUGAAAUACAUAUGAAAAUAGAAAUGAAUCAUUUUACAUCCCCAACAGCUUUUUACAUUGCAAAGGUAGAUUUCAGCCCUGAGACACUAAACAGGGGCAGUAGGACAAUGGGAGUGAGACAUUUACAAGGUAGGUCAGAUUUGUUGUGCAUUUCUUAUGUGCCCUUUUAAGCACUUGAUUCAGCAUUUUGCCCUCGUGUUGCAUUCCAACAUUUCCUCAGCUGCUCUCUGUCUCUGCUCCAAAGGUUUCUAGUGAUUGGUGAGUGAUGGGCAAGUGCUCCUGAGCCAGAGCAUUGUCUGUCAGUGCUGCUCCAUCUCAGUUCAUCACUGCUGCCUGGGAAGCAGCAGCUUUUGGGAAAGAGAGCAGCUCACAGAGUGUCUUUAGAAAUGCAUGCACUGGAACAGCUGCAGGUGCAAUGAGGGGGCACCAAGGCAUUUGCCUUCAUGGAUGGCCCAGUGUGCACAGCAGUGUCAUGGAAGUGCAGAGCUGGACAUGGGGAAAGGUUCCGGGUUUGAUCAUUGCCUUACAUUGG